CCUACGGGAGGCAGCAGUGGGGAAUCUUGCGCAAUGGCCUAACGGCUGACGCAGCGACGCCGCGUGAGGGAUGACGCUCUUCGGAGUGUAAACCUCUUUUGCCUGAGACGAAUUGUCAGCAUUAGCUGAUUUGACUGUAUCGGGUGAAUAAGCACCGGCUAACUCCGUGCCAGCAGCCGCGGUAAUACGGGGGGUGCGAGCGUUGUCCGGAAUCACUGGGCGUAAAGGGCGCGUAGGUGGCCUGAUAAGGGUGUGAUGAAAGUCCGGGGCUCAACCCCGGAUCGGCCGUGCCGACUGUUAGGCUAGAGUGCUGUAGGGGCAGGCGGAAUUCCGGGUGUAGCGGUGGAAUGCGUAGAGAUUCGGAGGAAGACCGGUGGCGAAGGCGGCCUGCUGGGCAGAUACUGACACUGAGGCGCGACAGCGUGGGGAGCAAACAGGAUUAGAUACCCUGGUAGUCCACGCCGUAAACGAUGGGUACUAGGUGCCUGGGGGAGCGACCCCCUGGGUGCCGGCGCUAACGCAGGAAGUACCCCGCCUGGGGAGUACGGCCGCAAGGCUGAAACUCAAAGGAAUUGACGG
rnacentral:rRNA from 1 species